GCCUACGGGGGGCAGCAGUGGGGGAUAUUGCACAAUGGGGGGAACCCUGAUGCAGCGACGCCGCGUGGGUGAAGAAGCGCCUCGGCGCGUCCCGCCCUGUCCGCCGGGCAGCCCCUGCCGGUCCCUGAAGAAGAAGCCCCGGCUAACUACGUGCCAGCAGCCGCGGUACUACGUAGGGGGCAAGCGUUAUCCGGAUUUACUGGGUGUAAAGGGGGCGCCGCCGGCGCUGCCAGCCCGGCGUGCCCGCCCGGGGCCCCCCCCCGGGCCUGCUCUUGGAACUGCGUGGC
rnacentral:rRNA from 1 species